CUUUUUGAUUUAAAUAUAAAGUAUCACCUCCCCAUUGAAAUUUUUAAAAGGCUGCGGUAUAUUGACCGUACAAAGGUAGCAUAAUCAUUAGUUUUUUAAUUGAGAACUUGUAUGAAUGGUUGAAUGAGAAAUAAUCUUUUUUAAUAGGAAAAUUGAAUUUUACCUUUUAAUUAAAAGGUUAAAAUAUUUUUAAAAGACGAGAAGACCCUAUAGAGUUUUAUAAUUUAUAUUUAAUAUUAAAAAAAAUUAAUAAAUAUUUUUAUUUAAAUAAUUAUUUUGUUGGGGUGAUGAUAAAAUUUAAUUAACUUUUAUUUUUUUUUACAUUAAUAUAUGGCUAAUUGAUCCACUACUAGUGAUUAAAAAAUUAAAUUACCUUAGGGAUAACAGCGUAAUUUUUUUUUUAAGUUCAUAUUAAUAAAAAAUUUUGCGACCUCGAUGUUGGAUUAAGAUUUAAUUUUAGGUGCAGAAGUAUAAAAUUUAAGUCUGUUCAACUUUUAAA
rnacentral:rRNA from 1 species